rnacentral:RNase_P_RNA from 1 species
UUCGAUGGUCGGCGGAUCGCCGCGGCGAAGAGGGCCGCGGAGGAAAGUCCGAGCUCCAGUGGGCAGGGCGCUUCCUAACGGGAAGGCGGGGGUCGGCGUUUCCCUCGACGGAAAGUGCCACAGAGAACAGACCGCCGAACGGCGCCGCGAGGCGCGCGUGGCAAGGGUGAAAACGAGAGGUAAGAGCUCCCGUUCCUCCGUCGAGAGACGGGGGAAGGCAAACCCCGCCUGGAGAAAGGCAAGAGUGAGAGGCCCUGGACGUAGGGGGACUGGCCCGGUCCCGUCGCCUUCGGGCGCGUCUCUCAGGUCGCCGCUUGAGCCCGUUCGCGAGAACGGGCCCAGAGGAAUGAUCCGUCAGCCGGACCGGGGUUUUCCCCCGGCUCCCGGUGGACAAAACUCGGUGUACAGGCCAUCGCAAACG